rnacentral:rRNA from 1 species
UUCGGCUUAGAGUUUGAUCCUGGCUCAGAUCGAACGCUGGCGGCAGGCUUAACACAUGCAAGUCGAGCGGUAACAGGUCCAGCUUGCUGGAUGCUGACGAGCGGCGGACGGGUGAGUAAUGCAUAGGAAACUGCCCAAUAGUGGGGGAUAGCCCGGGGAAACCCGGAUUAAUACCGCAUACGUCCUACGGGAGAAAGCAGGGGCUCUUCGGACCUUGCGCUAUUGGAUGUGCCUAUGUCGGAUUAGCUAGUUGGUGGGGUAAAGGCCUACCAAGGCGACGAUCCGUAGCUGGUCUGAGAGGAUGAUCAGCCACAUCGGGACUGAGACACGGCCCGAACUCCUACGGGAGGCAGCAGUGGGGAAUAUUGGACAAUGGGGGCAACCCUGAUCCAGCCAUGCCGCGUGUGUGAAGAAGGCUUUCGGGUUGUAAAGCACUUUCAGUGAGGAGGAAAACCUUAUGGUUAAUACCCAUGAGGCUUGACGUUACUCACAGAAGAAGCACCGGCUAACUCCGGCC